rnacentral:misc_RNA from 1 species
AACCUAGCACACCUGCGGUGUGUACCUGCGGAAGGAUCAUUACCGAGUUUACAACUCCCAAACCCCUGUGAACAUACCUAUAAUUUGCCUCGGCGGACUCAACGACGGUGCUCCGAGAAAUCGGGCGCCGCUCGCUGCCAGAGGAACCCCAAACUCUAUGUAUUCUUGUGGAUCUUCUGAGUAAAACAAAACAAAUAAAUCAAAACUUUCAACAACGGAUCUCAGAUCGGAAGAGCACAC